CUAGUCCUAUCUCUCGAAGGUCUUUCUUUUCUUUUUUCUUCAGACAAAAAUCUCGAGCCAGAGAGGCAAAAAAUAGAAACCUCUUUCCCUUCUCAGUUUCUUCCGUCGAUCUCUGGAUCAAACCUCUUUCUCUUCUCUUCUUUUGUGUUUUAUAUCCUUCUUUUUGAAAACCAGAGAGAAAUUAGAAUUUAGGGUUUUAAUCUCUAUUUUAUGACAAAUAUGAAUCAAUGGUGGUUGAUGGAUUUCGGAGAAAUUAGGGUUGGAUUCCGGUGAAAAGGGUAUUGGUUCCUCUUUAAUUCAAGAUCUAAGAGAGGGGUGUUAUGAUUGAUAGAUUCUGAUGUUGUGAAGAACAUAUGAUUAGAAUUCAGAUUUCUUCUGCUGAUUCAUGGCGAGAAAGAGAUGAAGAACUGAAUAUUGAAUAUGGAUUUCUUCUGGUGAUUGAGUUACAGAGAUGGGUUCAAUUAAGGGUUUGAACUGCUUUGGAUUGAGCAACUGAUGAUGAUUUAUGGUUUGUAGAAGAUGGAUCUAUGCUCGAUUUGUGAGAAGAAGAAUUGGCAAUUUAUGUUUGCAAUUGGGUCAUUCUCAAAUUUCCGUUAAAUCUUAAACCCUAGCUUCUAUUUCUUGAAUUUUGUUUUGAGACUUUUUUUUGUUUAAUUGUGUGUAUUGGUUAUCUGUUGAUCCAACCCUUGAGCAGUGGGAGAAAAUCAGGCAAUGAAAUCGCAGGGGUGGCUACCUUUCUUUGACAGUGCUUAUCAGGUUAUGACAGCCAUACAAAUGGUUAUAAAGUUUAAAACAUUCGUUUGCAGAGCAUUGUAGUUGCCUGUUUCCCAUGUUAUUCACACUGUUGGUCCUUUUUAUGAUAAUGAAAAUCAGCCGGAAGUUACUCUAAGAAAUGCAUACAGAAACUGCACAAAGCUUGCAAAAGACAAGAGCAGUAUAGAUUAUAUUUCUUUUACUGCCAUAUCUUGUGGUACUAAUGGACUUUGUGAGUUGAUGAGCUCAGCUAACGAUAAAUUUUUAUGAGAAGCUUCUAGUACCUGGUCUCAAAGUGGAUGAGUGAAAGUGAGAAUCGAUUCUUUAAGUGGACAGAGCGGGGAAGGAAAUGAGAGUGAAGCUUCUCGACGGAUCAAAACGGAUUACCUAAGCUUUCAAAUCUGUUGUGCAGUUGGGGAGACCAUGCAUCCUUCCAGCACAAAAAAGUAUGAAGGUAUCUCUGUGUUCGAUGUGACAAUGAACCUGCUCCUUGGACAAGGUUCUUUAUCUUUUCUUUUCAUUAUGUUUUAGUUUCUUUCGAUGGCUCUCUAAUGUAGCAUUCCUUUUCUUGUAAGGAUUACUAUGUGCUCUGUUGUGUAAUAAGUAAGAUGUUUGAUGUCCAAACUUGAUCUUAUUUGAGGUAAUAUUGUUUUUUCCA